rnacentral:lncRNA from 1 species
UGGAGAUGUCUGUCUGUAAGCCAAGAUAAACCAGGAGAGAUUCUUCUCAAACAUCUCAAGAUGGAAGGAACAUGAGCAGCUUUCCUAAUGGUAUAACCUGCUGCUGCCUCUUUUAUCAUUUCCUGUUGUUCUCUGUGGAAAAUGAGUGCAAUGAGUGCAUGAGAAAGACUAGAAUUGAAGGUCAGCAGCUUCUGCAUGUGUCAAGGAGGAGACAGAUAUCCAACCUUUUCUUACCUGCAACUACAGAUCUGAAGAAAGGCAUGAUAGCAGAUAAGAGGCUGUUGUGGCUGUUUUGCUGGACCAUGCCUGAAUGGGUGCUGUGCCGUGCUCCUCUCUGCCUCCAGCAGUGCUAUUAAAGGAAGGAGGGAGUUGUGAAUUCCCGCAGUCUUUGGUAAGGUACAACUUCCUUCCUUGCUC